CUGCACUUCAGACCAUGUUAUGAUGGAGACGUCUGAGCAAGAAGAAGAUGUCCUACAGUUUGAAUGUGAGGAUGGCUCCUGGCUCCCGGGUUCUCUCCGCUGAGCAGAUGCCUCCCCGGAUCCCAGCUAUCAGGGAUAUUUUGAGAAUGAUUUCUGCAUAAUUAAAAUGGACGA